rnacentral:rRNA from 1 species
UACGUAGGUGGCAAGCGUUGUCCGGAAUUACUGGGCGUAAAGGGCGUGUAGGCGGCCUUUUAAGUCAGACGUGAAAUCCCUGGGCUUAACCCAGGAACUGCGUUUGAAACUGAGAGGCUUGAGGAUCGGAGAGGGCAGUGGAAUUCCCAGUGUAGCGAUGAAAUGCGUAGAUAUUGGGAGGAACACCAGUGGCGAAGGCGACUGUCUGGACGACACCUGACGCUGAGGCGCGAAAGCUAGGGGAGCAAACAGG